UGGGGAAUAUUGCACAAUGGGCGCAAGCCUGAUGCAGCCAUGCCGCGUGUGUGAAGAAGGCCUACGGGUUGUAAAGCACUUUCAGCGGGGAGGAAGGCGGUGAGGUUAAUAACCUCAUCGAUUGACGUUACCCGCAGAAGAAGCACCGGCUAACUCCGUGACAGCAGCCGCGGUAAUACGGAGGGUGCAAGCGUUAGACGGAAUUACUGGGCGUAAAGCGCACGCAGGCGGUUUGCUAAUGCAGAUGGGAAAUCCCCGGGCUCAACCUGGGAACUGCAUCUGAUACUGGCCAGCUUGAGUCUCGGAGUGGUUGGUAGAAUUCCAGGUGUAGCGGUGAAAUGCAUAGAGUUCUGGAGGAAUACCGGUGGCGAAAGCUGCCCCCUGGACGAAGACUGACGCUCAGGUGCGAAAGCCUAGGGAGCAAACAGG
rnacentral:rRNA from 1 species